GCUGUAGAUAACAUGGUUUCACACUCGCUGCCGAAGCCCGGCUUUCCUAAUUGGUCAGUGUUAUUUUGCUGACAUGGAGAACAAACGUUAACAUUAUAAAAAUAUGAAGACAAGUGUCCUCAGGGGCCUGAAGUAUUGACUACCAACAGCCUCUUCACAUUCUUAAUCUUGGGAAGUAAAAAGCUUUUACCCAAAGAGAAAUAUCUCGAAGAAGACAGACAGAUGCAAAGGUGGGCAGACACAAAGAGGCAAUGAGAGAGAAAGCCGAGAGCGUUUAGCCCUCAUGUCAGUGUCGGAGUGGGUAUGCAGCCCGGCUCAGGACAAGGAAUGCAAACCACUCACCAUCACUGGGACUUGGAGUCAAUGUGUAUGAUGGCUCAACUGGACUCCAGACACAUAAGCAGAAGAAUAAGGGACGCUUAUAAAGGCCUUGGCUUUUACCCAAGUUAUGAUGCUAUGUCAAGGUCAAGCUGAUGUGCAAAUAACCAGAGUUUUUCCCAUGGGGGUGCUCAUGAGAUGGGAAACACAGGGGAUGACGGCAACUUUCACCUUGAAAAACUCUUGGGGAGAUUUCUCAACAUGGGUUUACGACAACCAUCCUCUCUGGCCUAGGAGUUGAAAACAAUCUGGCUCAUCACCAGCAUGCCGGAUCAGCAUGUGAGCUCAGUGAAGCAGUUAUCCCCAGUCGUGGGGGGUACGUGGAAGGAUCUAUGUUUAUGGGAUUAUUUUAAAGAUUUGCUUAUUUUAUAUAUAGUAUUCUCUUAUGGAUGUCUUGCUUGUAUUCUUUGUUGAAGAAAUAUCAUGGCUUUAUAAUCAUGAGGGCAUACUGUAAAUCUUUCACCUGUUUAAUAAAUUACAUGAAAUAAGAUGCAUUAUAUAUAUAUAUAUAUAUAUAUAUAUAUAUAAAAUUACGAUGUAUUGAUUCUGAGUAUUUUGAGAUAUACUCUAAUGCUUAGAGUAUGCCAGAGACUGUAGCAAUAUAUCAAUUCAUUAUAAAUUAAUAUAUCAAUUCCUUUCCCACCCAUGCUAUGAACUCGGUAUUAUUAUUACCAUCCAUAUUUUAUUGACGAGGAAACUGAG